GUUGUAUAGUCAAGUAAUUAAGUGCAUGUGGUGGAUGCCUUGGCAGUCAGAGGCGAUGAAAGACGUGAUAGCCUGCGAAAAGCUCCGGGGAGGCGGCAAAUAUCCUUUGAUCCGGAGAUGUCUGAAUGGGGGAACCCACCUACUUUAAGGUAGGUAUUGCAACAUGAAUACAUAGUGUUGCAAGGCGAACGAGGGGAAGUGAAACAUCUCAGUACCCUUAGGAAAAGAAAUCAAUUGAGAUUCCCUCAGUAGCGGCGAGCGAACGGGGAUCAGCCCAUUAAGUUAUGUGUGUUUUAGUGGAACGCUCUGGGAAGUGCGAACGUAGAGGGUGAUAUUCCCGUACACGAAAGGGCACACAUAAUGAUGACGAGUAGGGCGAGGCACGUGAAACCUUGUCUGAAUAUGGGGGGACCAUCCUCCAAGGCUAAAUACUCCUGACUGACCGAUAGUGAACCAGUACCGUGAGGGAAAGGCGAAAAGAACCCCUGUGAGGGGAGUGAAAUAGAUCCUGAAACCGCAUGCAUACAAGCAGUGGGAGCACCUUCGUGGUGUGACUGCGUACCUUUUGUAUAAUGGGUCAGCGACUUAUAUUCAGUAGCAAGGUUAACCGUAUAGGGGAGCCGUAGAGAAAUCGAGUCUUAAUAGGGCGUUUAGUUGCUGGGUAUAGACCCGAAACCAGGCGAUCUAUCCAUGAGCAGGUUGAAGGUUGGGUAACACUAACUGGAGGACCGAACCCACUGUCGUUGAAAAGCCAGGGGAUGACUUGUGGAUAGGGGUGAAAGGCUAAUCAAGCCUGGUGAUAGCUGGUUCUCCCCGAAAGCUAUUUAGGUAGCGCCUCGGACGAAUACCAUAGGGGGUAGAGCACUGUUUCGGCUAGGGGGUCAUCCCGACUUACCAAACCGAUGCAAACUCCGAAUACCUAUGAGUACUAUCCGGGAGACAGACUGCGGGUGCUAACGUCCGUAGUCAAGAGGAAAACAAUCCAGACCGCCAGCUAAGGCCCCAAAAUCAUAGUUAAGUGGGAAACGAUGUGGGAAGGCAUAGACAGCUAGGAGGUUGGCUUAGAAGCAGCCACCCUUUAAAGAAAGCGUAAUAGCUCACUAGUCGAGUCGGCCUGCGCGGAAGAUGUAACGGGGCUAAAACUAUGUGCCGAAGCUGCGGAUNNNNAUGCUGGAGGUAUCAGAAGUGCGAAUGCUGACGUGAGUAACGACAAAACGGGUGAAAAACCCGUUCGCCGAAAGACCAAGGGUUCCAGUCCAACGUUAAUCGGGGCUGGGUGAGUCGACCCCUAAGGCGAGGCCGAAAGGCGUAGUCGAUGGGAAAAUGGUUAAUAUUCCAUUACUUCUGUGUAAUGCGAUGAGAGGACGGAGAAGGCUAAAUCAGCCUGGCGUUGGUUGUCCAGGUGAAAGGAUGUAGGCAUGUAUCUUAGGCAAAUCCGGGGUACUCUAUGCUGAGAUCUGAUAGCAAGCUGUACUUGUACAGCGAAGUGGUUGAUGCCAUGCUUCCAGGAAAAGUCUCUAAGCUUCAGUUACACAGGAAUCGUACCCGAAACCGACACAGGUGGUCAGGUCGAGUAGACCAAGGCGCUUGAGAGAACUCUGCUGAAGGAACUAGGCAAAAUGGUACCGUAACUUCGGGAGAAGGUACGCUGUUGUUGGUGAUGGAACUCGCUUCCUGAGCUGACGACAGCCGCAGAAACCAGGCCGCUGCAACUGUUUAUUAAAAACAUAGCACUCUGCAAACACGAAAGUGGACGUAUAGGGUGUGAUGCCUGCCCGGUGCUGGAAGGUUAAUUGAUGGGGUUAGCGUAAGCGAAGCUCUUGAUCGAAGCCCCAGUAAACGGCGGCCGUAACUAUAACGGUCCUAAGGUAGCGAAAUUCCUUGUCGGGUAAGUUCCGACCUGCACGAAUGGCAUAAUGAUGGCGGCGCUGUCUCCAGCAGAGGCUCAGUGAAAUCGAAAUCGCUGUGAAGAUGCAGUGUACCCGCGGCUAGACGGAAAGACCCCGUGAACCUUUACUGCAGCUUGACACUGAACUUUGACCUUACUUGUGUAGGAUAGGUGGGAGGCUUUGAAGCUGGAACGCUAGUUCCAGUGGAGCCGUCCUUGAAAUACCACCCUGGUAAUGUUGAGGUUCUAACUCUGUCCCGUGAUCCGGGACGAGGACCGUGUCUGGUGGGUAGUUUGACUGGGGCGGUCUCCUCCUAAAGAGUAACGGAGGAGUACGAAGGUGCGCUCAGCGUGGUCGGAAAUCACGCGUAGAGUAUAAAGGCAAAAGCGCGCUUAACUGCGAGACCCACAAGUCGAGCAGGUACGAAAGUAGGUCUUAGUGAUCCGGUGGUUCUGUAUGGAAGGGCCAUCGCUCAACGGAUAAAAGGUACUCUGGGGAUAACAGGCUGAUACCGCCCAAGAGUUCAUAUCGACGGCGGUGUUUGGCACCUCGAUGUCGGCUCAUCUCAUCCUGGGGCUGAAGCAGGUCCCAAGGGUAUGGCUGUUCGCCAUUUAAAGAGGUACGCGAGCUGGGUUUAGAACGUCGUGAGACAGUUCGGUCCCUAUCUACCGUGGGCGCUGGAAAUUUGAGAGGAUCUGCUCCUAGUACGAGAGGACCAGAGUGGACGAACCUCUGGUGUACCGGUUGUGACGCCAGUCGCAUCGCCGGGUAGCUAUGUUCGGAAGGGAUAACCGCUGAAAGCAUCUAAGCGGGAAGCCUACCUCAAGAUAAGAUUUCCCUAGGACUUUAUGUCCUCUAAAGAGCCGUUCGAGACUAGGACGUUGAUAGGUUGGAUGUGGAAGCAUAGUGAUAUGUGAAGCUGACCAAUACUAAUUGCUCGUGAGGCUUGACUAUACAACACCCAAGCAGUUG
rnacentral:rRNA from 1 species